ensembl:snoRNA
AAGCCAGCCAGUGAGUCUGCUUACCUAAAUGUAUAUAUUCAGAGCUUUAGAUAAAGCUGGAAAUAAUAGUGCUAUGAUAUGAGCAUUAAGGAUAAUCAAAGUUAUAAAGGUCCCUGAGAAUGAUUACAACA